CAUUUCCACUCCGGUAUAGAGAUUGGUUGUAGUAAACCAGAUGGCACUUGAUGUUCAGCCUUCACUUGCUGACAUGUUAAGCAUUUGGACACAUAUUCUACUAUGUCUUUCUUCAUACCAGGCCACCAGUAAUAUAACUUCAGAUCCUGGUACAUCUUGUUACUGCCUGGAUGCAUAGCAUAAGCAGCAGUAUGUGCUUCCCUAAG
rnacentral:misc_RNA from 1 species